GCUGGGUGCUGUGGUGCACACCUGUAACCCCAGCAGCUUGGGAGGCUGAGGCAGGAGGAUCAGGAGUUCAAAGCCAGCCUCAGCAAAAGUGAGGUGCUAAGCAACUCAGUGAGACCCUGUCUCUA
rnacentral:sRNA from 1 species